GGGGGGGGGGGGGGGGGGGGGGGGGGGAGGGGGGGGGGGGGGGGGCGGCGGGGAGGCUUGGUUCGCCGGGCGUCGACGGGCGCACGGGUGGGGAACGCGUAUCCAACCUGCCUCUGAGUGAGGGAUCACGCGUCGGAAGGCGGCCUGAUACCUCAUGGCAUCGUCUGCGGGCAUCCAACGACGAUGAAGGAUGUCAUCGGUCAGGGAUGGGGAUGCGUCUGAUUAGCUAGUUGGCGGGGGACCGGCCCACCAAGGCGACGAUCAGUAGGGGUUCUGAGAGGAAGGUCCCCCACAUUGGAACUGAGACACGGUCCAAACGCCUACGGGAGGCAGCAGUGAGGAAUAUUGGUCAAUGGGCGAGAGCCUGAACCAGCCAAGUAGCGUGCAGGAUGACGGCCCUAUGGGUUGUAAACUGCUUUUAUGCGGGGAUAAAGUGAGGGACGUGUCCUUCAUUGCAGGUACCGCAUGAAUAAGGACCGGCUAAUUCCGUG
rnacentral:rRNA from 1 species